UACGAAGGGGGCUAGCGUUGUUCGGAAUUACUGGGCGUAAAGGGCGCGUAGGCGGUGCCUCAAGUCGCGUGUGAAAGCCCCCGGCUCAACUGGGGAGGGUCACGCGAUACUGAUUGACUCGAAGGCAGGAGAGGGUAGUGGAAUUCCCGGUGUAGUGGUGAAAUGCGUAGAUAUCGGGAGGAACACCAGUGGCGAAGGCGACUACCUGGCCUGUUCUUGACGCUGAGGCGCGAAAGCUAGGGGAGCAAACGGG
rnacentral:rRNA from 1 species